UGGGGAAUCUUGCGCAAUGGGCGAAAGCCUGACGCAGCGACGCCGCGUGCGGGAUGACGGCCUGGUUGUAACCGCUUUCAGCAGGGACGAGGCCGCAAGGUGACGGUACCUGCAGAAGAAGCCCCGGCUAACUACGUGCCAGCAGCGCGGUAAUCGCUCACU
rnacentral:rRNA from 1 species